rnacentral:rRNA from 1 species
GACAGAGGUGGCGAGCGUUGUUCGGAUUUACUGGGCGUAAAGCGCACGUAGGCGGCCGGGCAAGUCGGGUGUGAAAUCCCUCUGCUCAACGGAGGAAUGGCGCUCGAAACUGCUCGGCUCGAGGAUAGGAGAGGAGAGUGGAAUUCCCGGUGUAGCAGUGAAAUGCGUAGAGAUCGGGAGGAACACCAGUGGCGAAGGCGGCUCUCUGGCCUAUUCCUGACGCUGAAGAGCGAAAGCGUGGGGAGCAAACAGG